rnacentral:rRNA from 1 species
ACUCGAGUGGCGAACGGGUGAGUAACACGUGAGUAACCUGCCCUUGACUUUGGGAUAACUUCAGGAAACUGGGGCUAAUACCGGAUAGGAGCUCCUGCUGCAUGGUGGGGGUUGGAAAGUUUCGGCGAUUGGGGAUGGACUCGCGGCUUAUCAGCUUGUUGGUGGGGUAGUGGCUUACCAAGGCUUUGACGGGUAGCCGGCCUGAGAGGGUGACCGGCCACAUUGGGACUGAGAUACGGCCCAG